UACGGGGGGAGCAAGCGUUGUUCGGAUUUACUGGGCGUAAAGGGCGCGUAGGCGGCCAGCACAAGUCAGUUGUGAAAUCUCCGGGCUUAACCCGGAAAGGUCAAUCGAUACUGCGGGGCUAGAGUGCAGAAGGGGCAACUGGAAUUCUCGGUGUAGCGGUGAAAUGCGUAGAUAUCGAGAGGAACACCUGCGGCGAAGGCGGGUUGCUGGGCUGACACUGACGCUGAAGCGCGAAAGCUAGGGGAGCGAACGGG
rnacentral:rRNA from 1 species